rnacentral:lncRNA from 1 species
ACCAUCUAAAUAUACAAGGUACCAUGUAGGUCAAAUAAAUAUACAUUUGUCUCUAGAAUCUUAGGACCACAUAUGACAAAAGAAACAAUCCUCUCCACAGUCCAAGUCAGAGCAUAGCAUUUGGAGUCUGAAGACCUAUUUUUGCUUCCUUUGAACUAGAUGAUUGUGGGCUAGGGUGGCCAUAUCUCACAGAUAACAAUAUAUAUGAAAAAAUAUGAAUUUCAGACAAAUAAUGAAUAAUUUUUUAGUGUACGUCUGUCCCAGGGAAUAGCUAGUGGUAGAGAUGGUAUAAAGUAUAUGGAUUCAAAAUGGAUAGAAAACAAAACUGACAGGACUUCAUGAUGGAUUAACUAUGAAGGGUAAGGAAGAAGGAAGAGUCAAGAAUGCUGCUCAGUUUGCUGGCUCAACAACUGAAGAAAUGGCAAUGCCAAUUACUAAGAUCGAAAAAAUGAAGGCGGUCCAAAUUUGGCCAGAAACAUGCAUAUGCAUAAACAUGCCAGCCUUUAUUUAGGUGUUUUGUACUAACCUCAGACUUGUAGUGUAUAUGCAUGCCAGCUACUCAGCGAGAGGAGUAACCUAUGAUUAUUUUGUCUUAAUGAAGUCAGAGUCCUCCCAAUAAUCCAGAUCAGACGGCCCAAUCUUCCUUGAUGCCUCCUGUCUUUUAUCCUGGUACCCAUUCAGUUCCCAAGUGUUAUCAAUAUUAUCUGGGUGGCAUCACUCUUUCAGAAAAGCUAGCCAGAUAGUAAGUUACCAAAUUUUCAUAGUGGACCUGGAGCAAUCACCCAUUUAAGACAGGGUGUAAGUUUUACUUUCUAGGUCAACUUUGAUCAAAAGGUGGUGGGUGCCUGAAAUCAUGUCUUGUGAAGGAGCCUGAGGCCUCAUUCUAGGCUCUACUGGGGAAAGUGGCAGAAUCACAUAUUGCUGUCUGCCAUGGGGUGGGAGUGAGGAUCAGCAGCACUCACGCUGUCUGUUGAUGCUUCGAGAAAUAUCUAGAAAGAUUUUGAUAUGUAGCUCCUUAUUUUCCCAUCCUUGGAGAGAGAGAUUUGAUUCUCGGUCAUCUGAUCAUUUAUUUCAAGGUUUUCCCUUUCAUAGUUUAUCUCUCCCACCAGACUGUAAGUUUCUUGAGAGCACGGCAUGUAACAGAAUUAUCCUAAUUUCAUCCCCACUGUUUGACACAUGGAGGGGGCACUCCAGAAGAAUUUGCGGGGCAAAGUGGAUGGCUCUGUCUACUGUUCAAAGGUUUUCCCAUCUCUAGGGUAACGUCCUCUCUAGUCAAAGUUCUGUAAUUGCCUCCAUUUACAUUUUUUCCCUUAAUAGAAAUUAAUCUUUUUAGUCUUAAAGAUUGGAAUUAAGUUCUACGUUACAAACUGCUUCAGUUCUAAGUCAUAAACUUGGUAUAUUAAAUUAAGUCAAACAUGUUUUAAUAUCCCUGGAGAAAGCUAGUUUACAUGGGUGAAUGCAAUAGUGGUCAACUUGGAAGCAUUUAUUUUAUUUCAUAUAUUUAUCACAUAAUUUAUAAUACAUGAUUUUCUCUGGCUAAAAUAAUCAAUAUGUGAUCUUGUGAGCCUUAUCCAGAUUAGAUGUAAAAAGCAGGUGGUCUUGCAAAUGUGUAAAAAAUAGGGUAAGGCAAUGACACAGGAUCGAAGAAGCUAGGAAUAUUAGUGCAAAAUGCUUAUAUCUGAGAGGUAAGGACAAAAGUGGAUGCCAUCUAACUCAUUUAUGUCAGUUUCAUGUAAAAUUGUAAGAGUAAUUGGUCUGGCCCAUUUACAAAAUUGUGAGAUGACUUUAUCAUUCGUUACCUAUUUCUUUAGUGUCUGGUACCUACUAGACAUGGCUUUAGGCACAUGAGGAGAAGAGCAGCUCAAUGCAGAUGCUAAGAUCAUGGUCUAGCAGUCUUGGACAAGUGCGCACGCGCACACACACUUUUUUAAGCUUUCAAAUUACAUGAGAAAUUCCUAAUACAAGAGAAGAACUUCUACCUGUUUGAGGAGCAGAGAAUCUCCUGUUAAAUUCUAAAUAAAUUACUCAAGCAAUAAUUAACCAUGUGAAGUUGGCAGCUGCUUACAGAGUAAUAGAACUUCAUCAGCACCAAAAUAUCGGUCACCCAUUCAGGUUUUUUUUUUAUAGAGUUGAUUUAUAAAAGUCCCCAUUCAGUUUUAAUCUCGACUAAGUCUUUCUUUUCAAGGAGGGAGGAGAAGGAAAGGUGGAGUGUACAAAGGCAAAUGCAUUGUAUUGCUAUGGCCCCUAUAUAACUAAAGAUGUAUUAGCUAGGGAAGGAAUUGCCUUAAGCCAUUAAAAUUCAUGAAUCCUUCAAUGAAGAUUAUUAAUAGCCACCAUCCAGUAAAGAAGAGGGCCCCAAGAGAAUGCAGAAAGGAGACGUAAAUUGGGUGGGACAAGAAAAAUCUGAAGAGGCUCUAUCUCCUGAAAGGACUACAGAAGCCAGGGAAUUUGGAUUCAGGAAGGGAAAAGAUCACUGGUGAUUUUUGUUAGCGUGAGAGAACUAUACACAGAGGGAAAGCAGAAACCAAGAUUAUCCUAGUUUAAUGUAUGAAUGAAUGAAUGGUCAAAGACAGAAUUAGCAAUCUUGGAGUUCCCUCUGUGGCACAGUGGGUUAAGAACCUGACUGCAGCAGCAGUGUAAGUUGCAGCUGCUGCUUGAAUGCAGUCCCUGGUGGGAAAUCUCCAUAUGCCUCAGGUGCGGCCAUUUAAAAAAAAAAGAGAGAGAGAGAGAGAAUUAGCAAUCUAGGCAUUCCCUCUCGUUGUGGCUGAGGGGAAACAAAUCCAACUGGUAUCCAUGAGGAUGAGGGUCUGAUCCCUGGCCUCGCUCAGUGGGUUAAGGAUCUAGUGUUGCUGUGAGCUGUGGUGUAGGUUGCAGAUAUGGCUCAGAUCUGGUGUUGCUGUGGCUGUGGCAUAGGCUGGUAGCUGUAGCUCCAAUUCAACCCUUAGCCUGGGAACUUCCAUAUGCUGCAGGUAUGGCCCUAAAAAAAUAAAAAGCAAAGCAAGCAAAAAAAAUAGCAAUCUAGAAGGAAGAAGUUAGAGGUUAUUUAAUCCAACCACUCAUUUUGAUUUCAUUAAAAUUCUGCAAGCCCACAGCGUGCAGAAAAUUCCUAGGUCAGGGAUCAAAUCCACGCCAUAGCAGUGACCCGAACCACAGCAGUGACCGCUAAGCCACCAGAGAACUCCCCAACCACUCAUUUUAAAAGUUAAAAAAAACCCAAAAACCCCCUAACUUCUGGAAGAAAAGUGAUGUAGCCAGGAUCACAUUUACAGGUAGUGUAAAACAGCUUACAUGACUAAGCCUCGAAUCCAGAUUUCUUAACAAUCCUGUUCAUCCAAAUUCAGAGAAUCAGGAAAGAAGGUAAAGCCCAAAGCGUACUAGAGGUAAACUGAACUUUCUUUACAGUUUUCCAGAGGGCUGGCCCUGGAUUUGAGGCUAGUACCUCUUGCUGUAUUAAGAACACUCACUAUAGUAUUUUAUAGAUAUUUUACCAGCAAGGUAUUUAUGAAAAUGACAGCUUCAUAAUUAUUUUUUUUCUGUGAAUCCUUUGCUCAAAGACACUUUCACCUCUUUUGUAGAUAGCAAUAAUCAUUUUCAUUACAUGAAGGAUUUAAACAAGCACAAACAAAUAAAUCUGCUACCCAUAAAAUUGUUAUUUAAAAAAAAUCUAUAUUUGAACUAUCUGGACAAGUUUUAAAUUGCCAUGCAAUUCUGUACUAGUUGAAAGAGAAGGUGAAAAUCAGAAUAAUGCAAAUGAUCAUCCCAAGUUUCAAAAGGUCAGGCUACAUGAAAUUCAAUCUUCGUCAUUCUUACAGUAAAUGCCAACGUGCCAAACAAGUUGGGAAGAGAGUCAGUCUCUCCGUGAAGCAGCAAAGCUGUGGGUUAGAUUUGCUUAAUUUUGUUUUGACUUCAUUAGCUUUUUUUUUUUAAGACACUAUGUGUUAAAGUAGUGGAACUGGGAAAUUGUUAUGAAUGAAGGAAUAACUAAAAGAUUUCUACUUCUUGACAUAGGUAAAUGGGGGAGGGGAGGUGGUGGUAAGGGCUGGAGGGGGAGGGGCAGGCCUCGGAAGGGAGAAAGAACGAGGUAACUUUCCUGGUUGCUUCCAGGGAGAACUGCCUGGCAUUCUAAACACUUGCUCCCUCCAGAUGUGCAAGUCAACUGAUUAAACUUUCUCUCCAGCUUUGUACCCUUGGGCAAUCUGUAUAAGGACUGCUCAUGAAUUAGCCGGGACUGCUUUUGCCAAGACUUCAAUUUACUUCCUCCAAAAAAUACAAGAAAACGAAAGAAGCCAGAUAUACCCCUCUCCCCCCACCCACACACACUCAAAGAAAGAAAAGAAAAGAAACUGAAAAAAAGGUGUGGCGAGUACUUUUAGCCUUAAUCAUGCUUGAAUCAUUCAUUCAAAAAUACGUAUUGAAUGGCUGCUUUCUCCCAGGCAGUCUGCUAGGUGCUAGGGCCACAUUGUGCUGAAUCCCACAAUCUGGCCAUGGCCUUCAAGGAGCGAAUUGUCCACAGGGACUGAAAGGCAUGGGUGAGGGAGGAGGUGGUGGGUAGCAGCAGACAAAGAACCCAACAACUGCCCUCCAGGAAAGGUCACACAGCACAGUGGUUAGACUAUCGCUGAUGGAGUCAGUUGGUUUUGGUCCAUGAGCUGGCCAUGAAGCCGAACAGCUUGAGCCAACAAGUCAACUUUUCUGUUUCUCACUCUCCUCACCCACAAAGAGGACUAGGCUGAGUUAUAAAAAAUACAGUGGCUGAAACCAUGAUGAUUCUAAAGCUUACACUGGAAGGAAGAGGAUAAAUUGGCUAAACAAAAAAAAAGGAUUAGUAGCCCAAGGGUGAGUAUCCCAAGGAGAGGGCAGCCUGAGCAAAGCCCAGGGGAGUUCCUGUCAGGGCUCAGCGGUUAACAAAUCUGACUAGCAUCCAUGAGGAUGCAGGUUCGAUCCCUGGCCUUGCUCAGUGAGUUAAAGGAUCUGGCACUGCUGUGAGCUGUGGUGUAGGUUGCAGACACGACUAGGAUCCUGUGUUGCUAUAGCUGUGGUGUAGGCUAGCAGCUACAGCUCCGAUUCGACCCCCAGCCUGGGAACCUCCAUAGGCCGUGGGUACGGCCCUGGAAAAAAAAAAAAAAGAUGGGCAAGGAAAUCAAGCUUUUACUUUAUUGAGAUCAGGCUGGGUAGAUGGGAUGGGUGUGGAGCGAGACCUGCUAGGAAAUCUCUGCAGUUAUGGGGGUACCAGCAGUAGAAAUGCAGACGAGAGCACACUUUAGCUACUAGAAGUUAAAUUACAGCAGAGUAAGAAAAGCAUUCUCUUAUGCCCAUUAGAUUUAUGAAUUAAUACUUGUGUCUUUGGAAAAAAGGUCCCCCAAACAUUGAAUUCAAAAAUACUCAUACAUGGAUACAGGCGUCUGCUAGGCAUGGUGGAAGAGUGGGGGGAUACAAAGAUAAGUUGGAUGUAGUCCAAAUCAUUGACAGUCCCGUGAGGGGGACAGUACCAAAAUAUUCAUAUUACAUGGCAGAACGGGUGUGCCUUUAGAUCAGCAUAGAGUCCCCAAGGAAGGCUGCUAGAGUGCAAGGAUCAGGAAACACUUCUGGAAAACAAAGGCAUUUGACAUGGGGCUUCUGGAACCAGAGGCUUUUGAUGAGUGGAGAAUGGAUGGAGGGCCUUCCAGUCUGGGGUGGUGGCGGGACUAUAACCAGGAACAGAGAAGCAUGGAAGCUAAGAAUGUUUACAGACAGCAAAUAGUCCAGUUCAUCUGGAAACUCUUUCUACAACUGCACUUAUGUUUAAACAGCAUUAUUCCUAUAACUGACAUACAAUAAACUGUGCAUAUGUUUAAACGUACAGGAUUUAGAUAUGUCUGUAUGACUCUUCUUGCCUCGAUUUCUCUUAGUUUGCAUUAUCUAAAGCUUUAAUAUAUGGAAUGAUAUGGCUUCUUCUACACAGCACAAUUAUUUUGAGAUUCAUACAUGUUGUACAGCAAGUAUCAAUAUGCUGCCCAGUAGUAAUCCACCAGUGUUUGUUUGUCCACUAUCUUUUGAUGGAUGUGUGGGUUGUUUGUAGUUUUUCAUGAUUACAUAUCACGCUGCUAUGAAUAUUUGAGUUUUUUUUCAUGGGCACAUGUUUUCAUUUCUCUAGGAGCAGAACUGCUGAUUCAUAUGAGAGAUGUGUG